rnacentral:rRNA from 1 species
UAAAGAAAGUAAGAAAGGGCGUAUGGCGGAUGCCUAGGCUCACGGAGGCGAUGAAGGACGUGAUAAGCUGCGAUAAGCUUCGGGUAGGUGCAAAUAACCCUUGAUCCGAGGAUUUCCGAAUGGGACAACCUAACCGUCUGAAGGACGGUUACUAGCACUCAUGUGUUAGAGCUAACGCAGGGAACUGAAACAUCUUAGUACCUGUAGGAAGAGAAAAUAAAUGAAUGAUUCCCCCAGUAGUGGCGAGCGAACGGGGAACAGCCCAAACCGCUGACGUCGCAAGGCGCCAGCGGGGUUGUAGGACCGCGACAUUGUACUCAAAUGGCGAGUGGAAGUAUCUGGAAAGUUACAUCACAGAAGGUGAUAAUCCUGUACACGAAGCCAGCUGAGACAUAGCGGUAUCCUGAGUAACGCGGGACACGAGGAAUCCUGCGCGAAUCUGCCGGGACCAUCCGGUAAGGCUAAAUACUCCCGUGAGACCGAUAGCGAACGAGUACUGUGAAGGAAAGGUGAAAAGAACCCCGA